GUAGGUGGCAAGCAUUGUCCGGAAUUAUUGGGCGUAAAGCGCGCGCAGGUGGUUCUUUAAGUCUGAUGUGAAAGCCCCCGGCUCAACCGGGGAGGGUCAUUGGAAACUGGGGAACUUGAGUGCAGGAGAGGAAAGUGGAAUUCCACAUGUAGCGGUGAAAUGCGUAGAUAUGUGGAGGAACACCAGUGGCGAAGGCGACUUUCUGGCCUGUAACUGACACUGAGGCGCGAAAGCGUGGGGAGCAAACAGGGAUUAGAUACCCUGGUAGUCCACGCCGUAAACGAUGAGUGCUAAGUGUUGGGGGGGUUUCCGCCCCCUCAGUGCUGCAGCUAACGCAUUAAGCACUCCGCCUGGGAUACGGUCGCAAGACUG
rnacentral:rRNA from 1 species